rnacentral:rRNA from 1 species
UGGGGAAUUUUGGACAAUGGGCGAAAGCCUGAUCCAGCAAUGCCGCGUGUGUGAAGAAGGCCUUCGGGUUGUAAAGCACUUUUGUCCGGAAAGAAAUCCUUGGCUCUAAUACAGUCGGGGGAUGACGGUACCGGAAGAAUAAGCACCGGCUAACUACGUGCCAGCAGCCGCGGUAAUACGUAGGGUGCAAGCGUUAAUCGGAAUUACUGGGCGUAAAGCGUGCGCAGGCGGUUUGCUAAGACCGAUGUGAAAUCCCCGGGCUCAACCUGGGAACUGCAUUGGUGACUGGCAGGCUAGAGUAUGGCAGAGGGGGGUUAGAAUUCCACGUGUAGUAGUGAAAUGCGUAGAGAUGUGGAGGAAUACCGAUGGCGAAGGCAGCCCCCCUGGGCCAAAUACUGACGCUCAUGCACGAAAGCGUGGGGGAGCAAAACAGGAUUAGAUACCCUGGUAGUCCACGCCCUAAACGAUGUCAACUAGUUGUUGGGGAACUUCAUUUUCCUUAGUAACGUAGCUAACGCGUGAAG